rnacentral:rRNA from 1 species
CCAGACUCCUACGGGAGGCAGCAGUGGGGAAUAUUGGACAAUGGGGUGAACCCUGAUCCAGCGACGCCGCGUGAGUGAAGAAGUAUUUCGGUAUGUAAAGCUCUAUCAGCAGGGAAGAAAGAAAUGACGGUACCUGACUAAGAAGCCCCGGCUAACUACGUGCCAGCAGCCGCGGUAAUACGUAGGGGGCAAGCGUUAUCCGGAUUUACUGGGUGUAAAGGGAGCGUAGACGGCGAUGCAAGCCAGAUGUGAAAGCCCGGGGCUCAACCCCGGGACUGCAUUUGGAACUGUGUGGCUGGAGUGUCGGAGAGGCAGGCGGAAUUCCUAGUGUAGCGGUGAAAUGCGUAGAUAUUAGGAGGAACACCAGUGGCGAAGGCGGCCUGCUGGACGAUGACUGACGUUGAGGCUCGAAAGCGUGGGGAGCAAACAGGAUUAGAUACCCGUGUA